UCUUUAAUAGGUCCAAGAACCUCUUCUGUUGUUGGGUGCUGAUCGUUUUUCUGGUGUUGAUAUCCGAGUUCGUGUAAAAGGAGGUGGAAGAAUCGCACAGAUCUAUGCCAUUCGACAAGCUAUCUCAAAGUCUCUUGUUGCUUAUUAC